AAUUAUGUGAAUUAAAGCAAGUAGUGGAUGCCUAGACUUAUCUAGCCGAAGAAGGACGCCUAGCCCGCGAAAGUCGCCGGGAAGCUGGCAAAAAGCUGUGAUCCGGCGGUGUCCGAAUAGGGUAACCUUGUCAUGAGAGAUCAUGAUGACCUUUGUCUUUAUGACAGAGGGGGGAUACCAGGGGAACUGAAAUAUCUAAGUACCCUGAGGAAAAGAAAUCGUAAGAGAUUCCCUGAGUAAGCGACGAGCGAAAAGGGAACAGCCCAAACCCAUAUUUAUAUGGGGGUUGUAGGACUUCAAUAUUGGAUUCUUUUUUUGUAAAAGAAUAGAGUGGAAUAUUUAACCAAAGAACGUGAUAGUCGUGUAUUUGAAACAAAAAAAGACCAUAGAAGAUUCCUGAGUAGGUUGGGAGACGGCAAACUCCCUUCUGAAUCUGGGGUGACCACACUCCAAGGCUAAAUACUAGAUAAGAUCGAUAGUGAACGAGUACCGUGAGGGAAAGGUGAAAAGAAGGGUCGAAGACCCCGUGAAAUAGUUCCUGAAACUAUUUGCUAACAAUCAGACAACGCCACUUUAUGUGGUUAUGUCGUGCCUAUUGAAGAAUGAGCCGGCGAGUAUUUGACAACUGCUACGGUUAAGAUGUUCCGCAUCGAAGCCACAGUGAAAGCGAGCCUUAAUAGGGCUAUUUACGGUAGUUGUUGAAUGACCCGAAACCGGGUGAGCUAACCAUGACCAGGGUGAAUUCCUCCGAAAGGAGGAAGGAAGCCCGCACCGAUGUAUGCUGCAAGAUGCUCGGAUGAGUUGUGGUUGGAGGUAAUAUGCCAAUCGAACCCGGAGAUAGCUGGUUCUCCCUGAAACAUAUUUAGGUAUGGGGUCACGUUAAGCGCAUUAGGGGUAGAGCACUGAUCGGGUGUCUGGGAGGAAACUUCCAGCAUCUAGUCAAACUCCGAAUACUAAUGUGUGUUUCGUGGCACUCAGCACUUGGGAGCUAAGUUCCAAGAGCUAAAGGGUAACAAUCCAGAUCUACAGCUAAGGUCUCUAAUGUAUAUUGAGUGGGAAAGGAAGUUUGUAUCCUAAGACACCUAGGAGGUCGGCUCAGAAGCAGCCAUCCUUUAAAGAAAGCGUAACAGCUCACUAGCCGUAGGGUACAUGCGUCGAAAAUUUAACGAGGCUAAAAUAUACAACCGAAGCUUAGAAUUUUUUACAAUAAUAUGUAGGAAGUGGUAAGGGAGCGUUCUGUGUGCUGUGAAGGUGCCCCGUGAGGAGGUGCUGGAGCGAUCAGAAGUGAGAAUGCCGGCAUGAGUAGCGAAAUUGGGGUGAGAAUCCCCAACCCCGUAUAUCCAAGGUUUCCGCACCCACGUUCGUCGUGUGCGGGUUAGGCGACCCUAAGGUAAGCCUUGUCCAAAGGGCAAGGGUAGCCGAUGGAUUACUGGUUAAUAUUCCAGUCCAUGGUAUGAAUCGUUUGACCUGGGGAAGGACGAUGAUGGAUAAGAUAUAUUCGGAAGUGAAUUUCGAAUCUAAUCACUAAGACAGUCUUAAUUGGCAAAUCCGUUAAGGCGUUUAUUCGAAGUGUGAUGGGUCUUGAGUCUUCGGACUCUUGAUAUGUCUGAUUUCAUUAUCCCGGAAAAGUUUCGCAGGAAGAUUUGUAUCAAAUCGUACCGAUAACCGACACAGGUGGAUAGGUCGAGUAGACCAAGGGGAGCGAGAGAAGGUAGUUUAAGGAAUUCGGCAAAAUAGCUGGGCGUAAUCUCGAAAGAUGCCCUCCUCAUCGCAAGAUGAGGCACAGUAAAUGACGUGAGGUUGACUGUUUAACAAAAACACAGGUCCGUGCAAACUCGUAAGAGGAAGUAUACGGGCUGAAGCCUGCCCGGUGCCGGAAGGUUAAUUGCGAGGGUUCUUGGUCUUUAUGAUCAAGGGCUUUCAAUCGAAGCCCCGGUGAACGGCAGCAGUAACUAUAACUGUUCUAAGGUAGCGAAGUUCCUUGUCGCUUAAUUGGCGACCCGCACGAAAGGUAUAACAAGCCUCAUACUGUCUUAAACUAUUACUCGGCGAAAUUGAAAUGGCCGUGAAGAUGCGGCCUACUAGCAGCAGGACAAAAAGACCCCGUGAAGCUUUACUACACCUUGGCACUGAUUUUGUAUGUGGAAUUGUCUAGAAUAGGCGGGAGUUUCCUUAUUUAGUAUGGAAACACCAAUGUAAUACCGCUCGUUUUAUAUAUAAAAUCUCACCUAACCUCACUGCAAACGUGAGGAGGGACCCUGUCAGGCAGGUAGUUUAACUGGGGAGGUUGCUUGCUAAAGAGUAACGCAAGCGCGCAAUGGUACCCUUAGCCUGGAUGGAAAUCAGGCUGGACGUGCAAUAGCAUAUGGGUGCUUUACUGUGAGGCAUACAGGCCGAGCAGUUGCGAAAGCAGGUUAUAGUGAUCCACUUGAACUUUGUGGAAGGUUCAGUGCUUAACGAAUAAAAGCUACUCCGGGGAUAACAGAGUCAUCGCGCCUAAGCGUCCCUAGCGUCGGCGCGGUUUGCUACCUCGAUGUCGGCUCAUCGCAUCCUGGGGCUGAAGAAGGUCCCAAGGGUUAGUCUGUUCGCCUAUUAAAGCGGUACGCGAGCUGGGUUCAGACCGUCGUGAGACAGGUCGGCCUCUAUCCGCUGCUAGCGUUAGAAAACUGAAGAAAUUUGCCCCUAGUACGAGAGGACCGGGGUGAGAGGAUCCCUAGUGUUCCUGUUGUUGCUGUCAAGCGCACUGCAGGGUAGCUACAUCCUAAAGGAUAACCGCUGAAAGCAUCUAAGCGGGAAACCUCUUCUAAGAUUAGUUUUCUCAAUGAGACCCGUGGGAGACUACCACGUUGAUAGACGGUAAGUGCAAGUCUGGUGACAGAUUGAGCUUAACCGCACUAAGUGUCCAAUGAACAUAAUUAG
rfam:Candidatus Pacebacteria bacterium CG2_30_36_39 cg2_3.0_scaffold_0_c, whole genome shotgun sequence.